UGCAAGUCGAACGAUGAAGCCUUCGGGUGGAUUAGUGGCGAACGGGUGAGUAACACGUGGGCAAUCUGCCCUGCACUCUGGGACAAGCCCUGGAAACGGGGUCUAAUACCGGAUAAUACCUACUGGGGCAUCUUAGUGGGUUGAAAGCUCCGGCGGUGCAGGAUGAGCCCGCGGCCUAUCAGCUUGUUGGUGGGGUGAUGGCCUACCAAGGCGACGACGGGUAGCCGGCCUGAGAGGGCGACCGGCCACACUGGGACUGAGACACGGCCCAGACUCCUACGGGAGGCAGCAGUGGGGAAUAUUGCACAAUGGGCGGAAGCCUGAUGCAGCGACGCCGCGUGAGGGAUGACGGCCUUCGGGUUGUAAACCUCUUUCAGCAGGGAAGAAGCGCAAGUGACGGUACCUGCAGAAGAAGCACCGGCUAACUACGUGCCAGCAGCCGCGGUAAUACGUAGGGUGCGAGCGUUGUCCGGAAUUAUUGGGCGUAAAGAGCUCGUAGGCGGCUUGUCGCGUCGGAUGUGAAAGCCCGGGGCUUAACCCCGGGUCUGCAUUCGAUACGGGCAGGCUAGAGUGUGGUAGGGGAGAUCGGAAUUCCUGGUGUAGCGGUGAAAUGCGCAGAUAUCAGGAGGAACACCGGUGGCGAAGGCGGAUCUCUGGGCCAUUACUGACGCUGAGGAGCGAAAGCGUGGGGAGCGAACAGGAUUAGAUACCCUGGUAGUCCACGCCGUAAACGUUGGGAACUAGGUGUUGGCGACAUUCCACGUCGUCGGUGCCGCAGCUAACGCAUUAAGUUCCCCGCCUGGGGAGUACGGCCGCAAGGCUAAAACUCAAAGGAAUUGACA
rnacentral:rRNA from 1 species